rnacentral:rRNA from 1 species
GACGAACGCUGGCGGCGUGCUUAACACAUGCAAGUCGAACGGAAAGGCCCUGCUUGCAGGGUGCUCGAGUGGCGAACGGGUGAGUAACACGUGGGUGAUCUGCCCCUUACUUUGGGAUAAGCCUGGGAAACUGGGUCUAAUACUGGAUAGGACCAUGCUGUAGGUGGUGUGGUGGAAAGAUUAGUUUCGGUAAGGGAUGAGCUCGCGGCCUAUCAGCUUGUUGGUGGGGUAAUGGCCUACCAAGGCGUCGACGGGUAGCCGGCCUGAGAGGGUGGACGGCAACAUUGGGACUGAGACACGGCGCAGACUCCUACGGGAGGCAGCAGUGGGGAAUAUUGCACAAUGGGCGCAAGCCUGAUGCAGCGACGCCGCGUGGGGGAUGACGGCCUUCGGGUUGUAAACUCCUUUCAGCCAUGACGAAGCCCUUGUGGUGACGGUAGUGGUAGAAGAAGCACCGGCUAACUACGUG